AGAUGCACUUGAGCUUGUUGGAGUAUGUCCUAGAGGUAGCUAGGGUAUAAUAUAUAUCUCUUGCGUCUGUGCCUCAGCCACUCUCAUGGUCUCAGAACCUGGUGAGAUUGUGAAUGGGAAACACUGAGCCUUCCAUGGGUGCCAAGAUGGGGGACAGCAGGGUGUUCCCCCAGGAUAUGACUCCACCAGAGAUCAGCUUGGUUUAGCAAGUGGGGGCAGUUCAGGAGACCCUCUGGCAGCUACAGUUCCUGCCCCAGGCAUCUGCUGCAUACUUGGCAUCUGCUGGAAACCUGGGGAACAAGACUCUUAGGAAAUGGGGUGAGUGGAGGGGCGUUCCCAGCUAGAGGAGAGUUGAGGUUGGGACUACCUGGCCUGUACAGAGCCCCCUUAAGAUUAUGUUUGUGUUCAUUGCAGUGCCUGGGGGUGGUGCUCAAGGGCCUUAUACAUGCAGGUGUCGGCAAGUGCUAUACAGCUGAGCCACACUCCCACCCUUGGGGUUCCAAGACUGAACCCAGUUUGCUGGGGUAUGAGAUCAGACGUCAGUAGCUAUGAUCUCAGACAAGAUCUCAGAUGCUGUGAGCUUCACUUGCCCUCCACCUGCAGAGAUGAUGGAUGACAGCUGCGACUCUCAGGACCGGUGCGGAGACAGGAAUACAUCUAAGAAUUUGGCCUGAGAGUCUGAUUAUCACAUCUGAAUCCCUGUAACUGGCCUUACUAUUCCUGUGAGCUCCUGGGCAGACCCUCCUGCAGACUUUGAGAAGAAUUCAUAUGAGUUAGGGCUCAUAGAUCAGGAAAGGGCUGAAAUUUUGAAAGGCAAGAGAGGCCAGCAGCCCCAGAGCCUACCAUGGAGUCCCAGGGAACGUGCAUGAGCAGAAUUCUAGAGGGCAAGGUGAUGGUGCUGUCUGUAGAGGUGCAGCCAUUAUUGUUGUAGU
rnacentral:lncRNA from 1 species